GGAGGGGAGUUAUCCCUGCUGCUGCUCGCAGGAGAGGAAGUUCUGCCAUCAAAACGAAAUUCGGCGCUUUUAUUUUUGCCUGCUUCCCAGGUUUUAGCGGCAUGUUUUUCUGUGCGCUCUGUCCGCUGUCGGGAGCGUGUUUUCACCUGGCACCUGCGUGCGAGCGCACGUAACUCAGAGUAUGAGGAGUGUGUUUUCGUGCAGUUUUUGUCAAGUUUGGGCAUAGAAAGUAGAGUAGCGACGACACUUCGGUAAAGUUAGAAAGAUAUUCACAGAUUCGGCUUUUCCGGAUCAAUAACUCAUCAGCGGAACAUUGCCUCUAGAAAACCAACACCUCUCUGCAACCACAGCAAGGCAGACAGUGAGCAUUUUCCUCAAAACGAGCCUAACACCGCGCUGAGAGACUUGCAUUGGCCUCUAUGCAGAGAUCGCUGCUCCUCAAAGGCGCAGGGACCGUCUGCAAAUUGCAACACCAGAAAAAUAUGAUGGAGAAAUAUUCAAUAAAGUCGCCAAGGAGAGGGCAGCAAUGACAGGAUGGAGCAGGUCCCCAUUUCCACAGAAGGAGCAGAACAUAUACCUUGAAUCUUAAAAGAAACAAAGAGUAUAAAAUAACCUAUGAUUAUUAUUAGUUACAGAAUAAAUACAUUUUAUUGCCUGAUCCUUUGAGAAUUUCUUCUGCCAUGUCUUGUCUGAGUGUUUUAAUGCACCUUUUAGAUGAUUUGACGUGGAAGUACUUUGGUAUGUUGGGAAAUUCAAUCACCAUCAUCUUGGCCGUCUGUAUGAAAAGCUAACAAGCACAUGUAUUAUGUUUGAUCCCACACUGUAAAAUAUUUAUUUAUCAACAAUAUCAAAAAAUGGUGUGUAUAAUUACCUCCAUGGAUUAUCAUCCCAGGCUGUCACUUGAUGUUAACCCAGUCUGCUUUGCCAAGUCUAUUCCGGCACAUCUUGAAGUACUGUCUACGGGAAUCAAGCAUAAUUUAUUUUGACUUACCAAGGUUUGUAUUGUUCUGCUGUAAAAAACGUUGGUGUAAAAUGUCAGUUUUUAAAAAUACUGAAAAACAAUUCUGAAGUCUUUAGCCAGCCUUCAUGGAGUCCACAGCCUCAUUUGACCCUUGCAGAGGAUCGACCACAAAAAUGUGGUUUGAAAGGGCAUGGAGAUACUGUUUGAACAAGGUGCAUAUCACUGAACAACAAUCAUAUUCAAACAGUAACAAAAAACAACAAUGCAACAAUGGUAUAUAAACACAUAGUAUGAAUUAAUACACCAUACACUUGUGAAAUCAAUGUUAACUCAACUUUGAAAUGUAUCUAAGAAACAGUGUUUUACAGUUAUAGUAAAAUUAUGGUUACAAGUCAUGAAGAAAAUGUAUAAUUUGGUCAUUUAAAACUGGACUGUAAUGGGACUUCUCAUAUCUGUUACUGCUUGUUUUGCUCCUCAAAAUAUAACAAAUAACACAUUGUUAAUUUAUUUAUUACUGUAUUAUGAAUCUACUAUACAUAAAAUCAGAUUUUUGUGGUCGAUCCUCUGCAAGGGUCAAAUGAGGCUGUGGACUCCAUGAAGGCUGGCUAAAGAUUCAGACCUAGAGACUCAAACAUGAGUCUCUAGGUCACGUUUGCUGACUGUAACCAAAUACUGAAUUAUUUAUUUUUGAGAGUGUGUGAAAUAAAAUUUGUUAAAACUCAAA